rnacentral:lncRNA from 10 species
CUGAAUAAUAAAAGGGGAAUUUCUGUGAAUUUACCAAUGCCAAGUAAAGUAGUUUGUUUUAGCUGAAGUGAAACCAGUAGAAAUAAGCGAAGCUAAAGCCAAAUGUUGAUCUAAAUAGCUGAAGGUCAUACUAAACCCUGAAAUCCUCGCCUCUUGUCCAAGCUUGAAACUUGCACCAGCAGUGUGGUGAGAUUGUUGUCUCUUUUGGAUUUGUUCUCUCUCCAGUGUGCAGUGAAAAGUGCCCCCACGCUGGAAUCCAAUCCAGAAACAGAUUGAAGACAUUGUUUUGUGUCUAUGAACUGAUGCCUUCAGUGGUCUCAUGGGAUCAUUAUAAGCUGCCUAUCUUGUGA